GAUGAACGCUGGCGGCGUGCUUAACACAUGCAAGUCGAACGAAGCACUUUAUUUGAUUUCCUUCGGGACUGAUUAUUUUGUGACUGAGUGGCGGACGGGUGAGUAACGCGUGGGUAACCUGCCUUGUACAGGGGGAUAACAGUUGGAAACGGCUGCUAAUACCGCAUAAGCGCACAGCAUCGCAUGAUGCAGUGUGAAAAACUCCGGUGGUAUAAGAUGGGCCCGCGUUGGAUUAGCUAGUUGGUGAGGUAACGGCCCACCAAGGCGACGAUCCAUAGCCGAGCUGAGAGGGUGACCGGCCACAUUGGGACUGAGACACGGCCCAAACUCCUACGGGAGGCAGCAGUGGGGAAUAUUGCACAAUGGGCGAAAGCCUGAUGCAGCGACGCCGCGUGAGCGAAGAAGUAUUUCGGUAUGUAAAGCUCUAUCAGCAGGGAAGAUAAUGACGGUACCUGACGAAGAAGCACCGGCUAAAUACGUG
rnacentral:rRNA from 1 species